GAGUGGAUUAUUUGUUUUCAUUGGAUAAACAACUUUUUUAAUGUAGAGUUGGUUAAUGGCAGGUGGAAUAUGGGAUCAAUAGAUACAUUAUAAGGAUCAAAUGAUUAAAAUAGGUUAAAUGAAUGUGAUUUUCUAAAGCAAAUUAUGAUGAGUUUUGAAAUAAUAAUAACAAAAAUAUAGUAUAGCUUAAGAUGGUGAAUGUCAGACUAUGGAAGUGUGGUGAUGAUUAUAAACCGAGGUUUACUACAAGGGAAACUUGGAAGAUCUUGCGAGGAGUACAGACGCAGAUUGAUUGGUUGAAAGGAGUGUAAUUUCAGUACAACACACCGAAGUUUUCUUUUUACACCUGGGUAGCCAUCCAGGACAGACUGCCCACAUGAGAUAAAUUAUCGCUAUGAAAUGGAGGCACUACGGUUGUGUGCACGCUAUGCAAGACUUGUCUGGAGUCUAGAAAUCAUCUAUUUUUUCAAUGUCAAUAUUCAGGAGAGGUGUGGUCGAAUCCCACCAAAAAGCUUUUGACAACGGACUACACUAAUGUUUGGGAUGGCAUUGUUACACUCCUUAAUAGGAAAAGAAGCAAACUGGAGCUGUUUCUUCUUCGGUAUGUUUUCCAACCCGUCUAUAUAACUGGUUCAUGGUCGAACCCGGUUCAACCACCAGGUCGAUCCGGUUUUAAAAACACGGAAGCCAUGGCUAAUACCAAUGUCUCCACCGGGUCGAUCCGGUUUUAAAAACACGGAACCCGGUUCAUAGUUGAAUUAUGUUUAGUUUGUAAAUUUGAGUAUUUUUCAUAGAAAAAACUGUAAACCAAAACUUAAACUUAAAAUUAUGAAUAUGUAUAUAUAUUUAUAAAUAUAUCAGGGAUUAAAAUGUGUUAAGCUGAUCAGUUAAUUAAUAUAGUUGAUAUGCUUCUUGACAGAUUAUCAGAGAGAUUACACAUAAUUACAAGAGUUGAUGAAAUUCUAGAUAGAUAUAUGAGAUGUGAAAAUAUGAUAUAUAACUCCUGCAUGACUCGAAUAAAUAUAUCUAUAUUAAUAAAAUUGAGCAGAAACUCUCCUCCUUGCGCCAACUCAGCAGAGGCUAUUCCUAAUUACGACACAUGGCAGCUCCUAAAUAAGUUGGCCAUGAUUUCUGAUAAAAAAAAUUUUGAAACGGUUUCCUUUCUCUUUAACUCCACCAUUAAUCCAAUCAUUAAACUAUACCCACCUUCUCCUCCCACUCCGUCUCACUUAUUCACCCUUCUUUCUUCCAUGGUUAAGAAGCUACACCUACCUUCGCUUCAGUAAAUUCAUCACUUUCUUCCUCUCAAACAUUAUGAUGAUGACGGUUGCGGCAUCUGUCUCGUGCCUUUCACUUUCCGGAACCCGCCACUAUUCUGAACUUGCUCAUUUGUUCUUGAACCAUCAUUGAAAGCAUCAAAAGGGAUGAUUAUGACAAUGCCAAUGUUGUUAUUUUACCCAUAUUCCAAUAUGUCAAAUUCUGAUUGGUUUUUCUUUUUCAGGUUACAAGUUGCAAGCAUGAAUAUCACCUUCAGUGCAUCAUUGAAUGGUCACAGAGAAGCAGAGAGUGUUCUAUUUGCUGGCAACUGUUUAUCCUUAAAGAUCCUGCUAGGACCAUUUACUUACUUGCUUCAUCAGUCCUGAGACAUGAACUAGACAUAGUGGAGAAUGAAAAGAAAGAAUGCAUCUCCAACUUCUCCAAGUUGUGCUCUAUGUACGGAUAGCACAUAAUCCCAUCUUCUUCCACAGCCCUUUCACGGUUGGAUUGUGGAAAAUAUUCAUGGGGAACCAGCUAGACAUCAACCCAUCAUCGGCCAGUGAAAAAAUCUUCAUACUACAACUCAUCACGUAUAAUAUGUGGAGAGAACAUAACUGCAGGACUUUCAGACAAAAUUCCUCUUCAGAGCGAUCAAUGAAGGACAAGCUUCUCUCCAUUCCGGCUACGUCGUAUACAGCGCACUCUAUGCUCGAGAUCUAAGUCUGCUUCAUUGCACCUUUCAACUAAGGAUGCUCACCUCACUCUCAGUCUGUUUUCCAUCUUCUUUGUUGUCAAUGUUGCUAUGUUUCAUCAGACUUGUCUGUUUUUCAUCUUCUUCUAAUAAAUUACUUGCAACAAACUCUGUAAAUUUUUGAAAAUUUGGUAUGAAUCUUUAACAUGUUUUCAACAAA